AAAUUGAAGAGUUUGAUCAUGGCUCAGAUUGAACGCUGGCGGCAGGCCUAACACAUGCAAGUCGAACGGUAACAGGAAGAAGCUUGCUUCUUUGCUGACGAGUGGCGGACGGGUGAGUAAUGUCUGGGAAACUGCCUGAUGGAGGGGGAUAACUACUGGAAACGGUAGCUAAUACCGCAUAACGUCGCAAGACCAAAGAGGGGGACCUUCGGGCCUCUUGCCAUCGGAUGUGCCCAGAUGGGAUUAGCUAGUAGGUGGGGUAACGGCUCACCUAGGCGACGAUCCCUAGCUGGUCUGA
rnacentral:rRNA from 1 species